UACAGAGGUCCCAAGCGUUGUUCGGAUUCAUUGGGCGUAAAGGGUGCGUAGGUGGCGUCGUAAGUCGGGUGUGAAAUCUCGGGGCUUAACUCCGAAACUGCAUUCGAUACUGCGGUGCUUGAGGACUGGAGAGGAGAGUGGAAUUCCCGGUGUAGCGGUGAAAUGCGCAGAUAUCGGGAAGAACACCCGUGGCGAAGGCGGCUCUCUGGGACGGUACUGACGCUGAGACGCGAAAGCGUGGGGAGCGAACAGG
rnacentral:rRNA from 1 species